UCCGGCCAUCUAAGCACGAAACUUGCCCCGAGAUGAGUUCUCCCUGAGACUUUAAGUCUCCUGAAGGAACGUUGAAGACGACGACGUUGAUAGGCCGGGUGUGUAAGCGCAGCGAUGCGUUGAGCUAACCGGUACUAAUGAACCGUGAGGCUUAACCUU
rnacentral:rRNA from 1 species